rnacentral:tRNA from 1 species
UCCCUGGUGGCUCAGAGGUUAAAGCGUCUGCCUGCAAUGCGGGAGACCCAGGUUCAAUCCUUGGUUUGGGAA